GACCCGGUAGCUCAGCAGGCAGAGCACCUGACUUUUAAUCAGGGGGUCGUGGGUUCGAAUCCCACCCGGGUCACCA
rnacentral:tRNA from 21 species